UCGGUGAACCAGGGCGAAACCCUGAACCGUCCAGACCCAGGCGCCGCACAGAAGCGCCACCAAGCCCAGAGCCGUAAACGGCAGAUGCACUCCCCACGGACGCGAACCGCUGCCCCCCCGGCGAAUCACGCCGAAGAUCCAGUCCACCAUCCGCGCAGGAGCCAAACCCACCGGUCCAUCCCAGCUCGACGCAGGGAUUCACCUGAGCCAACGCCGGAUCCCUGCAGACACCGCCCUGGCGCACCGCCGCCAAAGAUGCACCGGAGCCACAGUGUGGACUUUACAAAGAGUGUGUAAAGUAGCAGAGCAACCAGCACACCUGUGUUGCCUACCGCCAUCCUUCAAUUGAUGCUGUCUGUCCCAUACGCAGCUCUACAUAUCGUUCCAACCUGAUGAUCCAACUGUCUCAACUCAUUCAGGAUGGCACUUCCACUGCUGCGGCCGAUGUGAUUCUCCACAUUACAGGUGUAGUUGCCCAUGUCUGUCUCCUCCACAGCAUCAAACAUCAGAGAAAGCUCCACCUCCUUCUCCCCCAGAAACUCCCGCACCACCCUACACAAACA